GCUUGUGGUGGAGGGCUUGAUGAUGGUGAUGAUGGAGGAGGCUGCUCGUUAGUUGGUUCCACUGGAGGUGCUGUGGGUGGGCUCGAUGGAGGUGAUGGGGGAAUGGAUGGAGGAUUCAGUGAAGGUGGUGGCGGUUGAUUGUUAGGUUCGUAUGUUGGAGGUGUAACAGGGGGAGUAGAUAGAGGUGUUUGUGAGGUGGCUGGAGCUUGUGGUGAGGGGCUAGAUGGUGAUGGCGGUGGAGGAGAUUGAGUGCUAGGUUGAUAGGGCGGUGGUGUAGUAGGACUAGAAUCUAAUGGAGAUGGAGGUGGCUGAGUAUUAGUUUGGUCGGUUGGAGCCAUGGGUGGAGAAUAAGAUGGGGACGACGGUGGUGAUGGCGUACCAUUACCUUGGUCUGGUGAAGGCCCAGCUCCAUCAGGCGAUGACGGUGUUGUCUCUGCAUCGUCGCAAUCCUUGUUUGGUGGUCCUCGACCUUUGUUGGUCGGGCCAUCCUUGUCGUGGGGAUGCGGACCACGUCCUGGCUUGGGGCAAUGUGGAUUUUUCACUGGCCCUACACCAUUGGAUUUAUGAUCACCACUCCCAUGGGAGCCCUUCCCAUUUCCACCAGCAGAGCCCUUGUCAUCAGCUUGGGAUACAUGGGCAGCAAUCACAAGAAUCAGGAGGGGAAGAACUACAACUAGCAGUGAUCUCAUCGUAGGAUGAGAACGCUGAACCUAAAUACCGACCAGAGAGAGCUGUUUUUGUUGGCUUGCGGGUUUGUGCAGAAUGGGAAGCAACGCUAGCCAUUUAUAGUGGUGGUGACCUUGGUAAUGGCUACGUUUUGCUAGAUCCGCAGAAGCUUCUGACACUGUCACGCACCGUCCACUGUGUUCUGACAUUUGUUAAUUCUCAGGAUCCAUGGUUCUCCGUGCACAGCAUCUUUGCCUAGAUCACAGGGCCAUUCAUGUAACUGACAGUUAAUGCCACACGAGUGGUGACCUGUUGACCAGGAGAAGCAGACCUUGGGUGGCGUCGGCAGAUUCCAAAUGGAGCUGUCAAAAAUGCCAGGCUGAUCAGAUCUGGAGAUGGAAUUCUUUCAUUUGAUCGGUUUUCUUCUGACUCAUGGCAUGAAUAAAUGGAGAGUACCAAAUGAUAAGCGAAAGAACCGGUAUUAACAGCGUAGCCACGGGGUCGCAAGGAGACAAAUUGUAGGCAUACAUUUCGGAUAAUUCUAUUUGCAAGUGCCUGUGCUCCUUAUUUUCAGGUCAGUUUACUGUUUUCUAGAAUCUAUACUGCUUCUUGGCUACUUUUCUUUGUUCCCUGCAGGGAAUCAAGCAGUUCUUCGGCGGGGUAAGAGUCUCACAAUGCAAGGCAAACCAUUGUUUUAUGUGGCCAUGUUUUUUCUUAAUUUCUGGAGAUUGUUGGGCAAUUCUGAUAAGUUAAGAAACAGAACUGAAGUGUGAUAGUUGAAGAAAUAAGCUCAGAUAUACUCUCUUCUUUUUUCGGAUGCUGCAUAGUGUCACGACUGGCUACUUGAGAGUCCAUUGCCACGGAUGGUUCUGGAGCCAACAAUUCCAGUGACCCGCCGGAUAUCAGAAGCUCACUGUCUGGCAUCUCAAUGCUCUCAAGCCGCGAAGGCAUGCGGCAUGCGGCCAUUUUCAGGAAAAGGAGUUUCAGGGGGCAUCAGAUUAUAUAAACAGAAAGGAUGGUAGAGGAACACGAACUGGUGAUGGCUGGGCCUCUGAAGCAAAGGGCCGGGCAAGCUUCAUCUGUUUUUAUGUCGUGUAGAAAAAUCCCGGCCCUUUUCUUUGACAAGGCAGAAGAAUGAUUGUGCAGCGGUGCAUAACAGAAACACUGAAUAGCACAAGCUGACCAGACCUUCACAAGAACCUACCGAAUUAGGGUUUUCGAGGCGGUGGCGUGUCUGGCUAAUGUACCAUUGGGCAAUGGCAUAUUAUAGUGGCAAUUACGGGAUAUGAUCGUAUCGUUCCAGGUUACCCGACGUGUUAUUUUUGGUGGGCUAAAAAUGCCAGGUCGGUGAAUCGUCAUGUAGAGAAUAAGGCCCUGCUCGGCAGCUCUCCGCUCCGCAGCUUAAUUUUUCAGAGUUGGCAAACUGGUGCUCCUCGUGCGCUUCCGUAUUCUACGGAGCCGGAUGACUGCCCAACGGGCUCUAAGUUUGCGAUGUUGU